AACGUAAUGUGUGUCUUUGUGCUACUUUCCUAAUUCUGGGUUGUUCUAUAGGAUUCUCCAUUUCACUCCAUGCCUGUGAAGAAAAGCUCUAGAUUUAUAUCUCUCACUUAGAAUCUGAGCACUGUGUUUUGCAAGCUACACUUGCAGUGAUGGAGGCGUGUUACGUUCUUCGUCCUCACAAACAUCGUAGUUCUGAGGCUGAAUUUCUACUACUUCAACCUCAAUGCAUCACGGAUUUGUUUUAUUUUUACACCAAUCUUCGGAUAGGAUGGGUUUUUGUGAACAAUAUCUUUGAAUUAAUAGUGUUAAUCACGUCGCAUUUUUCAUUUUCGAUUGAUUUUCCAGUACUGACGAACCCUAUUCUCUAUUUGGAACAGAUCGGCGAAAUCAAUGCAGUGAUUUCAUACAUCCAGAGGUCGGGAGAUGAAAAAACUCGACCAGAUAAAGGACUUCAUACGUACCGACCAGCCAGACUUUUAUUGCUCUCCUUGCAUGUAGAUGGGUAACCUGAGAAGCAAGAAUAUAUUGGGAGGCAUUUGAAUAAGCUUUCGAAUGUGCAGCAGUUUGAAUGAACUUUGUACUAUUUAUAGGAGUGUUUCGAUUCUGGGACAUUGAACAGGCUAUGAGGCAAUUUGAAUGAACUUUGCACUGAUAUUUAUUAGUUAUUAAUAUGUAUUGGACA